UACGGAAGGCAGCAGUGGGGAAUAUUGCACAAUGGGCGCAAGCCUGAUGCAGCCAUGCCGCGUGUAUGAAGAAGGCCUUCGGGUUGUAAAGUACUUUCAGCGGGGAGGAAGGCGAUGCGGUUAAUAACCGCGUCGAUUGACGUUACCCGCAGAAGAAGCACCGGCUAACUCCGUGCCAGCAGCCGCGGUAAUACGGAGGGUGCAAGCGUUAAUCGGAAUUACUGGGCGUAAAGCGCACGCAGGCGGUCUGUUAAGUCAGAUGUGAAAUCCCCCGGGCUUAACCUGGGAACUGCAUUUUGAACUGGCAGGCUUGAGUCUUGUAGAGGGGGUAGAAUUCCAGGUGUAGCGGUGAAAUGCGUAGAGAUCUGGAGGAAUACCGGUGGCGAAGGCGGCCCCUGGGACAAAGGGCUGACGCUCAGGGUGCGAAAGCGUGGGGAGCAAACAGGGAUUAGGAUACC
rnacentral:rRNA from 1 species